UGAGGAAUAUUGGUCAAUGGACGCAAGUCUAAACCAGCCAAGUAGCGUGCAGGAUGACGGCCCUAUGGGUUGUAAACUGCUUUUAUAUGGGGAUAAAGUGGGGAACGUGUUCCCUUUUGCAGGUACCAUAUGAAUAAGGACCGGCUAAUUCCGUGCCAGCAGCCGCGGUAAUACGGAAGGUUCGGGCGUUAUCCGGAUUUAUUGGGUUUAAAGGGAGCGUAGGCCGUUUGGUAAGCGUGUUGUGAAAUGUAGGAGCUCAACUUCUAGAUUGCAGCGCGAACUGUCAGACUUGAGUGCGCACAACGUAGGCGGAAUUCAUGGUGUAGCGGUGAAAUGCUUAGAUAUCAUGAAGAACUCCGAUUGCGAAGGCAGCUUACGGGAGCGCAACUGACGCUGAAGCUCGAAGGUGCGGGUAUCGAACAGG
rnacentral:rRNA from 1 species